GGUGGAUUAGUGGCGAACGGGUGAGUAACACGUGGGCAAUCUGCCCUGCACUCUGGGACAAGCCCUGGAAACGGGGUCUAAUACCGGAUAUGACCAUCUUGGGCAUCCUUGAUGGUGUAAAGCUCCGGCGGUGCAGGAUGAGCCCGCGGCCUAUCAGCUUGUUGGUGAGGUAAUGGCUCACCAAGGCGACGACGGGUAGCCGGCCUGAGAGGGCGACCGGCCACACUGGGACUGAGACACGGCCCAGACUCCUACGGGAGGCAGCAGUGGGGAAUAUUGCACAAUGGGCGAAAGCCUGAUGCAGCGACGCCGCGUGAGGGAUGACGGCCUUCGGGUUGUAAACCUCUUUCAGCAGGGAAGAAGCGAAAGUGACGGUACCUGCAGAAGAAGCGCCGGCUAACUACGUGCCAGCAGCCGCGGUAAUACGUAGGGCGCAAGCGUUGUCCGGAAUUAUUGGGCGUAAAGAGCUCGUAGGCGGCUUGUCACGUCGAUUGUGAAAGCUCGGGGCUUAACCCCGAGUCUGCAGUCGAUACGGGCUAGCUAGAGUGUGGUAGGGGAGAUCGGAAUUCCUGGUGUAGCGGUGAAAUGCGCAGAUAUCAGGAGGAACACCGGUGGCGAAGGCGGAUCUCUGGGCCAUUACUGACGCUGAGGAGCGAAAGCGUGGGGAGCGAACAGGAUUAGAUACCCUGGUAGUCCACGCCGUARACGGUGRGAACUAGGUGUUGGCGACAUUCCACGUCGUCGGUGCCGCAGCUAACGCAUUAAGUUCCCCGCCUGGRGAGUACGGCCGCAAGGCUAAAACUCAAAGGAAUUGASGGGRGCCCGCACAAGCGGC
rnacentral:rRNA from 1 species